rnacentral:tRNA from 1 species
CAAAGUGUAGCUUAAACCAAAGCAUCUAGUUUACACCUAGAAGAUUUCAUAUCAAAUGACCACUUUGA